CUGGUUCAUAAUGUAACGUGACUUUUUGGAUGUGAGAAACAAGGCCAGCAUCUUCCCCUUGGCACCUCUCGAUCAGAAUAGGACAGCCCCAAAUGUAGAGUUCCUUCACGACGGUAAUGUUUUGUACGCUUUGAGGUAAAGAUGUCAGGUUGGGGCAAUCGUUGAUGUUAAGUUCUUGUAGGGAAGUGAGUUGUCCAAGCCAUUCAGGUAACACAUCUAGGCCUUCGCACUCCUCUAUCCAAAGUUCUUUUAGAGCAGCAAGGUCCUUCAUCCUCUCCGGCUAAGAUGUCAGCUUGGGGCAAUUGAUGAUGUGAAGUUUUUGCAGGGUAAUGAGGUUCCCUAGGCUUUCUGGCAACACAGCUAGUCCUUGGCACUUCUUUAUAUACAGAUCUGUUAAAGAAGUAAGGCCCUUCAUGCUUUCAGGCAAAGUUGUCAGGUUGGGACAAUUGAUGAUGGAAAUAUCUUGCAGGGUAAUGAGCUGCCCUAGGCUUUCUGGCAGCACAGCUAGUUCUUGGCACUUCUUUAUAUACAGAUCUGUUAAAGAAGUAAGGCCCUUCAUGCUUUCAGACAAAGUUGUCAGGUUGGGACAAUUGAUGAUGGAAAUAUCUUGCAGGGUAAUGAGCUGCCCAAGGCAUUCUGGCAACGUAGCUAGGCCUCGGCACUCCUUUAUACAAAGCAUUGUUAUAGAAGAAAGGUCCUUCAUGCUUUCUGGCAAAGAUGUCAAGUUGGGACAAUUGAUGAUGCGAAGUUUUUGCAGGGAAAUGACCUGUCCUAGGCAUUCUGGCAACAUAACUAGGCAUUGGCAGUCCUUUAUAUAAAGCUCUGUUAGAGAAGAAAGGUCCUUCAUGCUUUCAGGCAAAGAUGUCAGGUUGGGGAAAUCAAUGAUUUCAAUAAUUUGUAGGGCAGUGAGCUGCCCUAUCCAUUCCGGCAAUAUGUCCCAGCCUUUGCACCCCUGCAACACUAGCACUUUCAGAGCAGUAAGGUUCUUGAUGCUUUCAGGG
rnacentral:lncRNA from 1 species